rnacentral:rRNA from 1 species
AUUGAACGCUGGCGGCAGGCCUAACACAUGCAAGUCGAACGAGUGGCGGACGGGUGAGUAAUGUCUGGGAAACUGCCCGAUGGAGGGGGAUAACUACUGGAAACGGUAGCUAAUACCGCAUACCAUCGGAUGUGCCCAGAUGGGAUUAGCUAGUCGGUGGGGUAACGGCUCACCUAGGCGACGAUCCCUAGCGGGUCUGAGAGGAUGACCAGCCACACUGGAACUGAGGAACGGUCCAGAGGCCUACGGGAGGCAGCGGUGGGGAAUAUUGCACAAUGGGCGCAAGCCUGAUACAGCCAGGCCGCGUGUGUGAAGAAGGCCUUCGGGUUGUAAAGUACUUUCAGCGGGGAGGCGUUACCCGCAGAAGAAGCACCGGCUAACUCCGUGCCAGCAGCCGCGGUAAUAC